CCGUGUUAAUUUGGUCCUAAUUCCUCUCGUCCCCUCGCCUCCUCGCACUCUUUGGAUGUUGCCGCUGUCUGUUUCCCUCCCCUUCUCCGCUACAACAGUUUCUUCUUCCGUUCAAUAGCCAUUAUAUCGACGCCCCUCGGUCUCCCUCGCCAGCCUAUAAAAUCCCACGGAGCUCGCCUCCUUCGCUGGUGCCCUCGGUCCCCUGUCGUCGUGCUGUCGUCAGCUGUGCUCUCGCUUACCAUCGCGCCCUGUUGCUCAAACAACCUUCGUGCCUCACUCACCUCCGCUCACCUGCACGCUUGCUGCUCGCUGCUGCGCGCCACGCUGCUGCUCUAUGUUCGCCGCGGAUGCCGACGCAGCUUGCCGGAGUUGCCGUCUUUGACGCUGUUCGCCACUCACCAUCGCGCCAGCUACCCGUUCGAUCCACCUCGUUGGAGUCGUUUCCGUGGACAGCUGCGACGCCGCGUGUUGCAUGCGCUAGCAGUGUCUUUGACCUCCCUCCAUACCGGUGCGUUGCCUCUGCUUAGUCACUCCCGGCACCUGCUUUGCUCAUCACUUG
rnacentral:lncRNA from 7 species